rnacentral:rRNA from 1 species
GACGAACGCUGGCGGCGUGCCUAACACAUGCAAGUCGAACGCUGAAGGACGACCUGGCUUCUCUAGAAGAGUUGCAAACGGGAGAAUCACGCGAAUGUCCCCCGCCCGUCAUCGGGAGAUCACCAUUGAACACGAGCUCUAACAGCACAUACCCUGAUAUGCUGCUGGACGUUGGCGUAAAAGGUGCGUUUGCAUCACUACCGGACGCACCUGCUAUUCAAUUAGCUGGUGGGGGGAGUAACUACUCACCAUUGCAACGAUACACAGCCUACCAGAGAGGCCGAUCGCCCUCACAGUGACAGACACACCGCACUCACUCCUACGGGAGGCAUGAGUAAGAAAUCUUCGUGCAAUGAACGGAAGACUGACCGACCCCCCCCGCGUGAUUGAAGACUGCUUUCUGAUCACCUCGCUCUGUCGUGAGAGAACAACGACUGUGAGAGUGGAAAGGUCACACUGUGACGAAAUCUUACCAUACAGGGACGGCUAACUACGUGCCAUCAGCCGCGGUAAUACGUAUGUCCCGAGCGUUGUCCGGAUUUAUUGUUGCGUAAAGCGACUUGCACGCGGUUAGAUAAGUCUGCAGUUAAAGGCUGUGGCUUACCCAUAGUACGCUUUGAAUACUGUUUAACUUGAGUGCAUGAGGGGAGACUGGAAUUCCAUGUGUAGCGGUGAAAUGCGCAGAUAUCAGGAGGAACACCGGUGGCGAAAGCGGCUCUCUGGCUCGUAACUGACGCUGAGGAUCGAAAGCGUGGGGAGCAAACAGGAUUAGAUACCCUGGUAGUCCACGCUGUAAACGAUGAGCGCUAGGUGUGAGACCCUUUCCCGUGUUUACUGCCGCAGCUAACGCAUUUUACACUCCCCCUGGGGAGUACAACCGCGCGGUUGUAACUCUCAGGAGUUGUGACGGGCCCCCACACGCGCUGGAGCCAUGUGCUUAUUUUCGAAGCAACGCGCAAAAACUUAUCCCAGGUCUUGUGAUCCCUCUGACCGCUCUGCAGAUAUAUUUUUCCUUCUAGACAGAGGUCACAGGUGGCACAGUGUUGUUCUCAGCUCUGUGUCGUGAGAUGUUGGGUUUAGUCCCGCAACGAGCGCAACCCCUAUUGUUAGUUGCCAUCAUUCAGUUGGGCACUCUAGGGAGACUGCCGGUAAUAACUCGGAGGAAGGUGGGGAUGACGUCAAAUCAUCAUGCCCCUUAUGACCUGUUGCUACUCCCGUGCUACUAUGGCUGGUACAACAAGUCGCAAUACUGGGAGCGGCAAGGUAUUCUUUAAAACCCAUUUUCAUUUGGAAUGGUAUGUGCCACUUGACCCCCAGAAGGUGGAGUUGGUUGUUAUUGCAGAUCAACCACGCUGCGGUGAAUACGUUCUCGGGCCU